rnacentral:rRNA from 1 species
AGCUCUCCGAGUGGUGUGGAUGUUUAUUGGGCCUAAAGCAUCCGUAGCUGGCUAAGUUAGUCCCUUGUUAAAUCCACCGAAUUAAUCGUUGGAUUGCGGGGGAUACUGCUUGGCUAGGGGACGAGAGAGGCAGACGGUAUUCCCGGGGUAGGGGUGAAAUCCUAUAAUCCCGGGAAGACCACCAGUGGCGAAGGCUGUCUGCUAGAACGCGCCCGACGGUGAGGGAUGAAAGCUGGGGGAGCGAACC